UGGCUCAGAUUGAACGCUGGCGGCAGGCCUAACACAUGCAAGUCGAACGGUAACAGGAAGAAGCUUGCUUCUUUGCUGACGAGUGGCGGACGGGUGAGUAAUGUCUGGGAAACUGCCUGAUGGAGGGGGAUAACUACUGGAAACGGUAGCUAAUACCGCAUAACGUCGCAAGACCAAAGAGGGGGACCUUCGGGCCUCUUGCCAUCGGAUGUGCCCAGAUGGGAUUAGCUUGUUGGUGGGGUAACGGCUCACCAAGGCGACGAUCCCUAGCUGGUCUGAGAGGAUGACCAGCCACACUGGAACUGAGACACGGUCCAGACUCCUACGGGAGGCAGCAGUGGGGAAUAUUGCACAAUGGGCGCAAGCCUGAUGCAGCCAUGCCGCGUGUAUGAAGAAGGCCUUCGGGUUGUAAAGUACUUUCAGCGGGGAGGAAGGGAGUAAAGUUAAUACCUUUGCUCAUUGACGUUACCCGCAGAAGAAGCACCGGCUAACUCCGUGCCAGCAGCCGCGGUAAUACGGAGGGUGCAAGCGUUAAUCGGAAUUACUGGGCGUAAAGCGCACGCAGGCGGUUUGUUAAGUCAGAUGUGAAAUCCCCGGGCUCAACCUGGGAACUGCAUCUGAUACUGGCAAGCUUGAGUCUCGUAGAGGGGGGUAGAAUUCCAGGUGUAGCGGUGAAAUGCGUAGAGAUCUGGAGGAAUACCGGUGGCGAAGGCGGCCCCCUGGACGAAGACUGACGCUCAGGUGCGAAAGCGUGGGGAGCAAACAGGAUUAGAUACCCUGGUAGUCCACGCCGUAAACGAUGUCGACUUGGAGGUUGUGCCCUUGAGGCGUGGCUUCCGGAGCUAACGCGUUAAGUCGACCGCCUGGGGAGUACGGCCGCAAGGUUAAAACUCAAAUGAAUUGACGGGGGCCCGCACAAGCGGUGGAGCAUGUGGUUUAAUUCGAUGCAACGCGAAGAACCUUACCUGGUCUUGACAUCCACGGAAGUUUUCAGAGAUGAGAAUGUGCCUUCGGGAACCGUGAGACAGGUGCUGCAUGGCUGUCGUCAGCUCGUGUUGUGAAAUGUUGGGUUAAGUCCCGCAACGAGCGCAACCCUUAUCCUUUGUUGCCAGCGGUCCGGCCGGGAACUCAAAGGAGACUGCCAGUGAUAAACUGGAGGAAGGUGGGGAUGACGUCAAGUCAUCAUGGCCCUUACGACCAGGGCUACACACGUGCUACAAUGGCGCAUACAAAGAGAAGCGACCUCGCGAGAGCAAGCGGACCUCAUAAAGUGCGUCGUAGUCCGGAUUGGAGUCUGCAACUCGACUCCAUGAAGUCGGAAUCGCUAGUAAUCGUGGAUCAGAAUGCCACGGUGAAUACGUUCCCGGGCCUUGUACACACCGCCCGUCACACCAUGGGAGUGGGUUGCAAAAGAAGUAGGUAGCUUAACCUUCGGGAGGGCGCUUACCACUUUGUGAUUCAUGACUGGGGUGAAGUCGUAACAAGGUAACCGUAGGGGAACCUG
rnacentral:rRNA from 1 species